GAAGUACUUCCUCUGUCCGGAAAUACUCGUCAGAGAAAUGAAUAAAAAUGGAUGUAUCUUCUAAAACUAAAAUACGUCUAGAUACAUCCAUUUCUCCGACAAAUAUUUACGGGCGGAGGGAGUAUAUA
rfam:Triticum aestivum genome assembly, contig: Triticum_aestivum_CS42_TGACv1_scaffold_129994_2BL